rnacentral:rRNA from 1 species
AUUGAACGCUGGCGGCAGGCCUAACACAUGCAAGUCGAGCGAGCGGCGGACGGGUGCGUAAUGUCUGGGAAAAUGCCUGAUGGAGGGGGAUAACUAAUGGAAAAGGUAGCUAAUACCGCAUACCAUCAGAUGGGCCCAGAUGGGAUUAGCUAGGAGGUGGGGUAACGGCUCACCUAGGCGACGAGCCCUAGCUGGCCUGAGAGGAUGACCAGCCACACUGGAACUGAGCCACGGUCCAGACUCCUACGGGAGGCAGAAGUGGGGAAUAUUGCACAAGUGGCGAAAGCCUGAUGCAGCCAUGCCGCGUGUGUGAAGAAGGCCUGCGGGUUGUAAAGCACUUUCAGCGGGGAGGCGUUACCCGCAGAAGAAGCACCGGCUAACUCCGUGCCAGCAGCCGCGGUAAUAC